UUUUGACCCAACCUUUCUGACCUGCCCAUCUUGUCUAGGUGUUGGCUUUAGUUGCAGAUUUCAAGUUUGUUUACCUCCUGGUCCCAAAAGAGUCACUUCGGCCUCCAAUUUCUGUAAACGCAGGGUGACUUGCCAAAUUCUUCUACAACUCUCCAGAUAAUGCAUCCCAGACGGGACAAAGCUUUUUAUUGUGGGUACUGCAUCAUCGCUGGUUUAACAGGUUUCUGACGGCGCGCACAACAUAAGUUUCAAACAUGAUUACGACUCGUUUCGCUUUCGAUACAUUUGGCGCUCCCGCCCCUGACGCGAUGCGGUUCCUAAAGCGGGUUCAACAGGUGGUAAGCAGUAACACCGCACAUGUUAAGGGGCAGAAUUUUGUGUUUAGCAGGGUAGGGUUUGCUAUUUAGAAAGGGGUAGCGGCGCAGCUUGUUGCUCGUCUACCUGCCAUUAGUUUGUAAUCGUAUUGGCCUAACAAUUUUUUUUUAUAUCCCAAUACUAUUAUAUUGAAAAGAAAAUCAUGACCUUUUCUCCCAAAAAAAAAAAAAAAUACUUUCUACCUCAUGUUUAUAAAAC